rnacentral:rRNA from 1 species
GAACGCUGGCGGCGUGCCUAAUACAUGCAAGUAGAACGCUGAAGGAGGAGCUUGCUUCUCUGGAUGAGUUGCGAACGGGUGAGUAACGCGUAGGUAACCUGCCUGGUAGCGGGGGAUAACUAUUGGAAACGAUAGCUAAUACCGCAUAAGAGUAGAUGUUGCAUGACAUUUGCUUAAAAGGUGCACUUGCAUCACUACCAGAUGGACCUGCGUUGUAUUAGCUAGUUGGUGGGGUAAGGGCUCACCAAGGCGACGAUACAUAGCCGACCUGAGAGGGUGAUCGGCCACACUGGGACUGAGACACGGCCCAGACUCCUACGGGAGGCAGCAGUAGGGAAUCUUCGGCAAUGGACGGAAGUCUGACCGAGCAACGCCGCGUGAGUGAAGAAGGUUUUCGGAUCGUAAAGCUCUGUUGUAAGAGAAGAACGAGUGUGAGAGUGGAAAGUUCACACUGUGACGGUAUCUUACCAGAAAGGGACGGCUAACUACGUGCCAGCAGCCGCGGUAAUACGUAGGUCCCGAGCGUUGUCCGGAUUUAUUGGGCGUAAAGCGAGCGCAGGCGGUUAGAUAAGUCUGAAGUUAAAGGCUGGGCUUAAACCAUAGUACGGCUAUACACU